AUUGAACGCUGGCGGCAGGCCUAACACAUGCAAGUCGAACGAGUGGUGGACGGGUGAGUAAUGUCUGGGAACCUGCCCGAUGGCGGGGGAUAACUACUGGAAACGGUAGCUAAUACCGCAUACCAUCGGAUGUUCCCAGAUGGGAUUAGCUAGUAGGUGGGGUAACGGCUUACCUAGGCGACGAUCCCUAGCUGGUCUGAGAGGAUGACCAGCCACACUGGAACUGAGACACGGUCCAGACUCCUACGGGAGGCAGCAGUGGGGAAUAUUGCACAAUGGGCGAAAGCCUGAUGCAGCCACGCCGCGUGUAUGAAGAAGGCCUUCGGGUUGUAAAGUACUGUCAGCGAGGAGGCGUUACUCGCAGAAGAAGCACCGGCUAACUCCGUGCCAGCCGCCGCGGUAAUAC
rnacentral:rRNA from 1 species